UACGUAGGGAGCGAGCGUUGUCCGGAUUUAUUGGGCGUAAAGAGCUCGUAGGCGGUUUGGCAAGUCGGAUGUGAAAGCUCCGGGCUCAACCCGGAGACGCCAUUCGAUACUGCCAUGACUAGAGUCCGGUAGGGGGGUGUGGAAUUCCCAGUGUAGCGGUGAAAUGCGCAGAUAUUGGGAGGAACACCAAUGGCGAAGGCGGCAUCCUGGACCGGCAUUGACGCUGAUGAGCGAAAGCCAGGGGAGCAA
rnacentral:rRNA from 1 species